GAUGCCUUGCACAGGUCUGUAGCUGCCCACGCCGAAUAUCCUAGCUCAUACACGGACUUGCAAACUCGUGGUUCAGCAUACAGGCCAGUAUCCACAUCUCUUGCUGAAGCUACAAGGUCACACACGAAUACACAUGUGCUCGAUGCUUUGCACAGGUCGGAAGCUGCCAGCUCAUUCACAGAAUUGCAAACUCGUGGCUCAUCGAAUAUACCAGUAUCUGCAUCCCUUGCUGGAGUUACAAGGCCACACACGGAACCACACGUACUUG